GGUGCUGAAGCAACAAAUGCCCUGCUUCCAGGAAAAGCCUCUAAGCAUCAGGUAACAUCAAAUCGUACCCCAAACCGACACAGGUGGUCAGGUAGAGAAUACCAAGGCGCUUGAGAGAACUCGGGUGAAGGAACUAGGCAAAAUGGUGCCGUAACUUCGGGAGAAGGCACGCUGAUAUGUAGGUGAAGUCCCUCGCGGAUGGAGCUGAAAUCAGUCGAAGAUACCAGCUGGCUGCAACUGUUUAUUAAAAACACAGCACUGUGCAAACACGAAAGUGGACGUAUACGGUGUGACGCCUGCCCGGUGCCGGAAGGUUAAUUGAUGGGGUUAGCCGCAAGGCGAAGCUCUUGAUCGAAGCCCCGGUAAACGGCGGCCGUAACUAUAACGGUCCUAAGGUAGCGAAAUUCCUUGUCGGGUAAGUUCCGACCUGCACGAAUGGCGUAAUGAUGGCCAGGCUGUCUCCACCCGAGACUCAGUGAAAUUGAACUCGCUGUGAAGAUGCAGUGUACCCGCGGCAAGACGGAAAGACCCCGUGAACCUUUACUAUAGCUUGACACUGAACAUUGAGCCUUGAUGUGUAGGAUAGGUGGGAGGCUUUGAAGUGUGGACGCCAGUCUGCAUGGAGCCGACCUUGAAAUACCACCCUUUAAUGUUUGAUGUUCUAACGUUGACCCGUAAUCCGGGUUGCGGACAGUGUCUGGUGGGUAGUUUGACUGGGGCGGUCUCCUCCUAAAGAGUAACGGAGGAGCACGAAGGUUGGCUAAUCCUGGUCGGACAUCAGGAGGUUAGUGCAAUGGCAUAAGCCAGCUUGACUGCGAGCGUGACGGCGCGAGCAGGUGCGAAAGCAGGUCAUAGUGAUCCGGUGGUUCUGAAUGGAAGGGCCAUCGCUCAACGGAUAAAAGGUACUCCGGGGAUAACAGGCUGAUACCGCCCAAGAGUUCAUAUCGACGGCGGUGUUUGGCACCUCGAUGUCGGCUCAUCACAUCCUGGGGCUGAAGUAGGUCCCAAGGGUAUGGCUGUUCGCCAUUUAAAGUGGUACGCGAGCUGGGUUUAGAACGUCGUGAGACAGUUCGGUCCCUAUCUGCCGUGGGCGCUGGAGAACUGAGGGGGGCUGCUCCUAGUACGAGAGGACCGGAGUGGACGCAUCACUGGUGUUCGGGUUGUCAUGCCAAUGGCACUGCCCGGUAGCUAAAUGCGGAAGAGAUAAGUGCUGAAAGCAUCUAAGCACGAAACUUGCCCCGAGAUGAGUUCUCCCUGACUCCUUGAGAGUCCUGAAGGAACGUUGAAGACGACGACGUUGAUAGGCCGGGUGUGUAAGCGCAGCGAUGCGUUGAGCUAACCGGUACUAAUGAACCGUGAGGCUUAACCUUACAACGCCGAAGGUGUUU
rnacentral:rRNA from 1 species